GUCACUGUCUUGUCAUAGAAGGUUAGACAACAUCAGAGCCAGCUGAUGUAAUAAGGAGAAGGAAGUUCAGAGGUCAGGCUGAGGAAAGACAUCAACUGUGUGUCUGGCCAGUGGCAAGUGCAUGAUCAACGCUGUUGCCUUUCUGGUCCCAGCACUCAAAGCCCUGCUCCUUACUGCAACACUAACCUUAGAGAAAAACCAAAGAGCCAUACAGACCAACGAUGGGGAGCAGGGGGAAGGAACACACAGGCGGAUGCAGUUCAACAACUAAAAGAAAGUCAAAGAAUGAGUGGUCUGGAACCAAACCAACACUAUCUCUGAAGUAUGCCUGUGCCAGAAAGUACUCCUGAACCCCAAAUUAAGUCAGCUGAGAUGGAACUAUGACAUACAAAUACCUGGCACUACUACUUUCAUUUAAUGGAGCCGCCACUGGAUCCUGGAUCCUGUACUGCUAAUAAAGGUUUUGAGAGAAAGUUACAAAGGCAAAUGGACCCACUGAUAACCAAGUCUAUCAACCAUAAUCCUUAUUGGAAAAACAUACAUGACAUAAACCAUGGCAAGUAUUACCAUCUCUCCAUCUUCUAGAAAGACAAGUUGAAAAUAAUAAUUACCCUGUAUCGAUGGUCACCAACUGAAGACAAUAAAUGCAUUUCUUAUUUACUGGUAUUAGCUGUGUCUGUAAAUUUUGAUUUGUUGGUCACAUCACCUCUCCAGAUGUUUUACUUUGAUUUCAGAAUUGAUAGAAUUCAAAUUUUCCCUAUUCAAGAGAGAAGGUAUCUUUAUUUUAUAUAUUUUUCCUAGCC
rnacentral:lncRNA from 1 species